rnacentral:tRNA from 1 species
GCUGUAGCUUAGUGGCAGAGUGCCUGCCUCACACAUGUGAGGCACUGGGUUCGAUCCUCAGCACUGCA